GGCCCGGUCGUCUAGUGGUUAGGAUGCCGCCCUUUCACGGCGGAGAUCGCGGGUUCGAGUCCCGUCCGGGCUACCA
rnacentral:tRNA from 2 species